rnacentral:rRNA from 1 species
CAGUCGCCACGGGAAUACGAAGGUCCCGAGCGUUGUUCGGAAUUACUGGGCGUAAAGCGUGCGUAGGCGGUUUGUUAAGUCUGUUGUGAAAUCCCCGGGCUCAACCUGGGAACUGCAUCUGUGACUGUAUAGCUAGAGUGUGUCAGAGGAUGGUGGAAUUCCCGGUGUAGCGGUGAAAUGCGUAGAGAUCGGGAGGAACAUCAGUGGCGAAGGCGGCCAUCUGGGACAACACUGACGCUGAGGCACGAAAGCGUGGGGAGCAAACAGGAUUAGAUACCCCAGUAGUCCCUGUCUCUUAUAC